GCAACGCGAAGAACCUUACCUGGUCUUGACAUCCCGGAGACCCUUAGGAAACUAGGGGGUGCUUCCAUCUGGAAGAAUCUGGAGACAGGUGGCUGCAUGGCUGUCGUCAGCUCGUGUCGUGAGAUGUUGGGUUUAAGUCCCGCAACGAGCGCAACCCUUGCCUUUAGUUGCCAGCAGUUCGGCUGGGCACUCUAAAGGGACUGCCGGUGUUAAACCGGAGGAAGGUGGGGAUGACGUCAAGUCCUCAUGGCCUUUAUGACCAGGGCUACACACGUACUACAAUGGCCGAUACAAAGGGCAGCGACACUGCGAGGUGAAGCCAAUCCCGUAAAAUCGGUCUCAGUCCGGAUUGGAGUCUGCAACUCGACUCCAUGAAGUUGGAAUCGCUAGUAAUCGUGGAUCAGCAUGCCACGGUGAAUACGUUCCCGGGCCUU
rnacentral:rRNA from 1 species